UGUUGGGCUGACCUUGGAGAAGGUGCAAAGCAGAACAGGAGGCGUCACACCUUCCCUCACCUGCCUUUGCCCUUUCACGUUCUGCCCCAGGCACUCCAGCUGGGUGGGGUUUGCCACAGCACCUCUGAAAAAUCCAGGCAUGUGAUGAAGUGAUAGUCGAGAUGUAUCUUGAAGGAAGGACUGGGCGUGGGAGGCCCGCUUGUCUUUCCUCAUCCGACAUGACUGACUUGCUGUAGUCACCGGUCGUGCAACCACAGAACCGGGGCGUCCGCGCACUGUCAAGGAAGUGUCGGAGUGUGUGUAUAAACAUAAAGUGACUGCGCAGAGCAGCUCGGAUGACAACCAAGCGGUGAAUGCACAGUGCCACAGAGGGCGCGUUGUCCUGGCAGCCCGGCGGCCGCUCCCCUCUGGAGGCCGCAGGUGCCACACAGGAAGGGCUGCCCGCUCCCUCAGAAAUCCUCCCCCCUCACAGAACAAACUCACAGGUGACACGCCACCUUGGGCCUGGAUUCCUACCGUUAGCCUCCCCCUGGGCCACAACUGCCAGGGAAAUGGAAAAUCUGCACGGAGAAAGGUGCAGACGGGCAGCGGACCACGCGACAGGGCUCUGAGAAGAGGACCUCGGGGCAGAACGCAGUGUCAGAGCGGGGAGGGCCGGGGACACUGAAGGAGAGGGGUGGUGGAGUCCAGACA